GCAAUGACGUCGUCAACCUCGCAAAAUCCGGAAGUACCUGCCGGCCCCGCCCCAAACAUUUCUGAAGAUGAGCAGCCACCACUUAGUAAGCAUCCGACGGCCGGUGGGAGGAGGCAAGAGAGUCCACAGCUGCAGGAGGAACGACACAAACUCUCCGCUCAUGUCUACGGUGACAACAGCAAGCUGAUGCAGCCUGGCCCACAUUUUGGAGCUUAAGGUGAGUCUAGCACUGCAAGAACUGCAAUCUAAGUAAGAUUAAAUACCUCAAAUAAGG